rnacentral:tRNA from 1 species
UCCUCAGUAGCUCAGUGGUAGAGCGAUCGGCUGUUAACCGAUUGGUCGUAGGUUCAAAUCCUUCCUGAGGAGC